rnacentral:tRNA from 1 species
GUUGAUAUUCCUGAGCAUCCAGCAGGCCGUGCUUCUCAAGGAAGCGUCGCGCGGUCAUCGGAUAAGAGAGCGGCAGGUUCGAGCGCUGCAUAGUGAUU